UUACGGCCACAUCGUAUUGAAACACCGGUUCCCGUACAAUCGCCGAUGUUAAACAACGUCGAGCCUGGUCAGUACCUAGUUGAGUAACCGCUUGGCAAUGCCAGGGGUU